UACCACCGUUGCUGUCCUCUUCGGUGUAGACGGGCUCGAUACCUCAUCGCGCCACUGUUGUUAUAGUCAGAUUCCAACGAGGCAGCAAGGGAUCGCCGCUGUCAUUCCCUCGGCUCGACUGAACAGGCUGAACUCAAGAAGAAAAUGGAGAAGUUUAAGUUGAGCUUACCUCUUGGGGUCCAGAUUGCAGCUGAAAUAAACUCUCUAUGAUUUUUGGUGCAUAAAGGAAGAAGGGAGAAUCGUAGCUGGUGAUUUAAAGGGUGGAGUUUUUGGCUGAUUAGGUGGACUUCCAUGUGAGACUUUGAAAAGUGGAGUAUGCAUAGAGUGCGGCUGAAAGACCUCCUAGUUGUACCUUAGCAUGGCUUCAAAUAUUAAAUUGUGGCUUUUGCAGUGAAAAGAGCAUGGCCUUAGCAGAGUUAAAGAAAAGGAGCUGAUAUGCGUGUACUAUGCAUAUUUUAUUUCUUGAUUUUGUAUACUAUGUUGAUAGUGUAGGAGAACCUAGGGAGUGGAAAAAAUAAUGAUGAUUGUAAAGUAAAUAGAAUUGAGGUGACUAAUAAAAAAAAAUCAUCUGGCUUGAUUAAUAUUAAUUAAUCAAGUAUUUGUAAAAC